ACCUAGUAUAAGGAGUGAGUAUAUAAAAGUGACAAAAGAUUCUGUAUGCUUUAUGGAUCCACCAGACAUCAUGUUGCCUGUGAGUAUGAGACCUUUUAAAUCAGUCAUGUAAGCUAAUGAGUUUAACUGAGUUUAAUCAGUGGUCACAGGGAGAAGGCCCAUCAGUUGAGGAAGAUGAGGAGACUGUGUCUGUAUGUUCAAGGAGGCCUGAGGAUGCUGACACUGUUCUAGAGCCCUCUCAGUCUGGGACCACAUGUGAAAAAGUGAGUAUUAAGAAAUGAAAACAAUGUGCCAAGAGUAUUCAAUGAAAUAACU